UGAUGGAGCAACGCCGCGUGCAGGAUGAAUGCCUUCGGGUUGUAAACUGCUUUUAUAUGUGAAGAUUAUGACGGUAGCAUAUGAAUAAGGAUCGGCUAACUCCGUGCCAGCAGCCGCGGUCAUACGGAGGAUCCAAGCGUUAUCCGGAAUUACUGGGCGUAAAGAGUUGCGUAGGCGGCAUAGUAAGCAGGUAGUAAAAUCCUGGGGCUCAACCCUUUAAAUAUUAUCUGAACUGCUAAGCUAGAAUAUGAGAGAGGUCGCUGGAAUUCCUAGUGUAGGAGUGAAAUCCGUAGAUAUUAGGAGGAACACCGAUGGCGUAGGCAGGCGACUGGCUCAUUAUUGACGCUAAGGCACGAAAGCGUGGGUAGCA
rnacentral:rRNA from 1 species